UACGUAGGGGGCUAGCGAUGUCCGGAUUUAUUGGGCGUAAAGAGCGCGUAGGCGGCCGAGUAAGUCCGACGUGAAAUCUGGAGGCUCAACCUCCAGCGGUCGUUGGAAACUACUCGGCUAGAGUCCGGAAGAGGAGAGUGGAAUUCCUGGUGUAGCGGUGAAAUGCGCAGAUAUCAGGAAGAACACCGAUGGCGAAAGCAGCUCUCUGGGACGGUACUGACGCUGAGGCGCGAAAGCGUGGGGAGCGAACAGG
rnacentral:rRNA from 1 species